rnacentral:rRNA from 1 species
ACGCUAGCUACAGGCUUAACACAUGCAAGUCGAGGGGCAGCAUUGGAGUAGCAAUACUUCAGAUGGCGACCGGCGCACGGGUGAGUAACACGUAUCCAACCUGCCGCUUACUCGGGGAUAGCCUUUCGAAAGAAAGAUUAAUACCCGAUGGUAUAAAGAGUUCGCAUGUUCUCUUUAUUAAAGAAUUUCGGUAAGCGAUGGGAUGCGUUCCAUUAGAUAGUUGGCGGGGUAACGGCCCACCAAGUCUACGAUGGAUAGGGGUUCUGAGAGGAAGGUCCCCCACAUUGGAACUGAGACACGGUCCAAACUCCUACGGGAGGCAGCAGUGAGGAAUAUUGGUCAAUGGACGAGAGUCUGAACCAGCCAAAAGUAGCGUGAAGGAUGACUGCCCUAUGGGUUGUAAACUUCUUUUAUAAGGGAAUAAAGUGAGGGACGUGUCCCUUUUUGUAUGUACCUUAUGAAUAAGGAUCGGCUAACUCCGUGCCAGCCGCCGC